AAAUAUGUCUUACCAGAUGAGAAUUUACGGGGAAGGCUCACGUUAAGCUUUGAUGAAGCAUCAGCUGGAGUUGCCUGUAAUCUUGAUUCCCCCGGCUUUCACGUUCUAUGCAAAGCAACCGAAGAAGUUGUUGGACACGUGAAGCCUUACUCGAUCACCGGUACUUUGCCUCUAAUCCGAGACCUCAAGGAUGAAGGUUUCGAUGUGCAAACUUCAGGAUACGGUAUUACAAAACCCUCUUCA